GAUUAACGCUGGCGGCGUGCAUAACACAUGCAAGUCGAACGAAGUGGCGGACGUGAGAGUCACGCGUGAGUCACCUGCCUUAGAGGAGGGUAUAGCCUUUGAAAACGAAGAAUAAUCCCCUAUGCGCCAAGAUUGGCUUGCGUCUGAGUAGUUAGUUGGUGGGGUAACGGCUCACCAAGACAGCGAUCAGUAGCCGGCUUGAGAGCGUGUACGGCCACAUUGGUACUGAGACACGGCCCAGACUCUACGGGAGGCAGCAGUGGGGAAUUUGGCACAAUGGGGGAAACCCUGAUGCAGCGACGCCGCGUGAUUUAGAAGGCCUUCGGGUUGUAAAAAUCUUUUCUAUGGGAAGCAGUACCAUAGGAAUAAGGAACGGCUAAUUACGUGCCAGCAGCCGCGGUAAUUC
rnacentral:rRNA from 1 species